rnacentral:rRNA from 1 species
ACAAAAUAAGAUAGGCUAUUAUACCUAGUGACAAACCAUAGCCCCCCGCCAAAAAAUAUAUUACAACCCCCACCCCCGCAUGGGGGGUAUUGCCUGCCCAGUGAAACUCUUAAACGGCCGCGGUAGCCUAACCGUGCGAAGGUAGCGUAAUUCAUUGCCUUAUAAUUUAAGGCCAGUCAAUGGUCGAACGUGAGCUCAGCUGUCUCCCGGCCACCACUCGCGGAACUUAACUUUUAAGUGAAAAGGCUUAAAUAAACCUGAAAGACGAGAAGACCCUGCAGAAUUUCAUUCCACGGGGCCAAGCCGGGCCACCCCAGCUUGCCCCUCCAGUUUAAUUGGGGCAAUUAGAGAAAACAAAAACUUCUCUCCCCUACUCAACCCUCAAGUGUCUAGAGCUAAGCAAUUAACGAAAGGAAAAAUUACCUCAGGGAUAACAGCGUAAUGCUAUUGGAGAGUACACAUUAAUAAUAGCGAUUGCGACCUCGAUGUUGGAUUAAAAACCACACGAAAGUGUAGCAGCUUUCUAUGCGGGCCUGUUCGGCCCUUCAAAUUUUACAUGAUCUGAGUUCAGACCGACGUGAGUCAGGUCGGUUUCUAUCUUCAAAUAUGAGGGCGCUUCGUACGAAAGGAUCAGCCCCCUAUAAGCCGUUAUUAAAUAAUAAGCCCGUCUAAUAAAAUA